GAUGAACGCUGGCGGCGUGCUUAACACAUGUAAGUCGAACGGAAAGGCCCAAGCUUGCUUGGGUACUCGAGUGGCGAACGGGUGAGUAACACGUGGGUGAUCUGCCCUGCACUUCGGGAUAAGCCUGGGAAACUGGGUCUAAUACCGGAUAGGACCACUUCUUGGAUGUUGUGGUGGAAAGUUUUUUCGGUGUGGGAUGAGCUCGCGGCCUAUCAGCUUGUUGGUGGGGUAAUGGCCUACCAAGGCGUCGACGGGUAGCCGGCCUGAGAGGGUGUACGGCCACAUUGGGACUGAGAUACGGCCCAGACUCCUACGGGAGGCAGCAGUGGGGAAUAUUGCACAAUGGGCGCAAGCCUGAUGCAGCGACGCCGCGUGGGGGAUGACGGCCUUCGGGUUGUAAACUCCUUUCGCUAGGGACGAAGCGUUUUGUGACGGUACCUGGAGAAGAAGCACCGGAUAACUACGU
rnacentral:rRNA from 1 species